AAGCGACCGAUAGAGAACAGUACCGUGAGGGAAAGGUGAAAAGAACCCCGGGAGGGGAGUGAAAAAGAACCUGAAACCAUAUGCUUACAAACUGUAGGAGCAAGCAAGCAAUUGCAAGUGACUGCGUACUUUUUGUAGAACGGGCCAACGAGUUGCGAUAUGAUGCAAGGUUAAAUACUUAAGGUAUGGAGCCGAAGCGAAAGCGAGUCUUAAGAGGGCAAGAGUACCAUAUUGCAGACCCGAAACCGGGCGACCUAUCCAUGUCCAGAUUGAAGUUUCCGUAACAGGGAAUGGAGGAUCGAACCCACGUACGUUGAAAAGUGCGGGGAUGAGGUGUGGAUAGCGGUGAAAUUCCAAUCGAGCCCGGAGAUAGCUGGUUCUCUCCGAAAUAGCUUUAGGGCUAGCGUUUUGCAAGAUAUAUAUGGAGGUAAAGCACUGACUGUCCAAUGGGUCUUUUAGAUUACUGAGGAUUAUCAAACUAAGAAUGCCAUAUAUAGCGCAAAGCAGUCAGACUAUGAGUGAUAAGGUCCAUAGUCGAGAGGGAAAGAGCCCAGACCAACAGCUAAGGUCCCAAAAUAUAUGUUAAGUGGAAAAGGAUGUGAAGUUGCACAAACAGCUAGGAUGUUGGCUUAGAAGCAGCCAUACAUUUAAAGAGUGCGUAACAGCUCACUAGUCGAGUGAUUUUGCGCCGAAGAUAAACGGGGCUAAAACUUAUUACCGAAGCUUGGGAAUUUAAAAUAAAUUGGUAGAGGAGCGUCCUAUGUGGGUUGAAGUUGUGCCGUAAGGCAUGGUGGACUGCAUAGGAGUGAGAAUGUUGGCAUGAGUAGCGAGAGACAGGUGAGAAUCCUGUCGGCCGAAAAUCUAAGGUUUCCUGAGCAAGGUUCGUCCGCUCAGGGUUAGUCGGGACCUAAGCUGAGGGCGAAAGCCAUAGGCGAUGGACAACAGGUUGAUAUUCCUGUACCACCGAUAGUCGUUAAGAGUGAAGUGGGGACACAGAAGGAUAGGUUAAGCGUGCCGUUGGUAGAGCACGUACAAGCGUUAAGGUAGUUGCGGCAGGCAAAUCCACUGCAAUAAUACUGAGGCGUUAUGUGGAGGGAAAUUAAGUACCGGAAGUAACUGAUUUCAUGCUGUCAAGAAAAGCCGCUAGCAAGACUAAAGGUGCCCGUACCGCAAACCGACACAGGUAGAUGAGGAGAGAAUCCUAAGGCCAGCGAGAGAACUGUUGUUAAGGAACUCGGCAAAAUAACCCCGUAACCUAGGGAGAAGGGGAGCCUGCGAGAGCAGGCCGCAGAGAAUAGGCCCAAGCGACUGUUUACCAAAAACAUAGGUUUCUGCAAAACUGCAAAGUGAAGUAUAGGAGCUGACGCCUGCCCGGUGCUGGAAGGUUAAGGGGAAGACUUAGAGCAAUCGAAGGUUCGAACUUAAGCCCCAGUAAACGGCGGCCGUAACUAUAACGGUCCUAAGGUAGCGAAAUUCCUUGUCGGGUAAGUUCCGACCCGCACGAAAGGUGUAACGACUUGCGCACUGUCUCAACGAGGGACCCGGUGAAAUUGAAGUACCUGUGAAGAUGCAGGUUACCCGCGACUGGACAGAAAGACCCCAUGGAGCUUUACUGCAACCUAAGAUUGAACUUAGUUAAUGAAUGUACAGGAUAGGUGGGAGACGUAGAACCUAGGACGCUAGUUUUAGGGGAGUCGCUGUUGGGAUACCACCCUUUCAUUAAUUGAUUUCUAACGGGCCGAGUAACGACCGGCCGGACAGUCUUAGGCGGGCAGUUUGACUGGGGCGGUCGCCUCCUAAAGAGUAACGGAGGCGCCCAAAGGUUCCCUCAGCGCGGACGGAAAUCGCGCAUAGAGUGCAAAGGCAGAAGGGAGCUUGACUGCGAGACCAACAAGUCGAGCAGGGACGAAAGUCGGGCUUAGUGAUCCGGUGGCAUCCGAGUGGAAGGGCCAUCGCUCAACGGAUAAAAGCUACCCCGGGGAUAACAGGCUGAUACCGCCCAAGAGUUCACAUCGACGGCGGUGUUUGGCACCUCGAUGUCGGCUCGUCUCAUCCUGGGGCUGGAGUAGGUCCCAAGGGUUGGGCUGUUCGCCCAUUAAAGAGGUACGCGAGCUGGGUUCAGAACGUCGUGAGACAGUUCGGUCCCUAUCCGCUGUGGGCGUUGGAAAUUUGAGUGGAGCUGUUCCUAGUACGAGAGGACCGGAAUGGACAUACCUAUGGUGUACCGGUUGUUCUGCCAAGGGCAUAGCCGGGUAGCUAAGUAUGGAAAGGAUAAGCGCUGAAAGCAUCUAAGUGCGAAGCCAACCACAAGAUAAGAUUUCCUCCAGCAAUGGUAAGACCCGUGAGAGACUAUCACGUUGAUAGGUCGGAGGUGUAAGUGCAGUAAUGUAUUUAGCUGACCGAUACUAAUAGGUCGAACGCUUGACCAA
rnacentral:rRNA from 1 species